GGAGGCCAGAGGCCGGUGUUGAGCCGAUGAUGGUGGCUGCAGGUGGGGCCGGGAGGCCGGUGUUCAGCCGAUGGUGGUGGCUACAGAUGGAGGCGGGAGGCUGGUGUUGAGCCGAUGAUGGUGGCUGCAGGUGGGGCCGGGAGGCCGGUGUUCAGCCGAUGGUGGUGGCUACAGGUGGAGGCCAGUGUUUAGCCGAUGGUUGUGGCUACAGAUGGAGGCGGGAGGCUGGUGUUUAGCCGAUGGUGGUGGCAACAGGUGGAGGCGGGAGGCCGGUGUGCAGCCGAUGGUGGUGGCUGCAGGUGGAGGCGGGAGGCCGGUGUGCAGCCGAUGGUGGUGGCUGCAGGUGGAGACUGGUGUUCAGCCGAUGGCGGUGGCUGCAGGUGGAGGCCGGCGUUCAGCCAAUGGUGGUGGCUGUAGGUGGAGGCGGGAGGCUGGUGUUCAGCCGAUGGUGG